CGUUGCGAGGAUAAGUCGCUGAACGCGGAAAGUGAACUCAACCAACGCAGCGAACAGUGGAGGCAAACUAAGCUGAACUGAACUGAACUGGACUGUGCCAGGCAGUGUAGCAGCAGCAACAACACUUUAUAUGUGAGCCAAUAUUCUGUGCAGUGUACCUGUUAGUGUAGUGUGACUGUAUUGGUGUGCUGCCAAUGACGGGCGACAGGUGUUGGUGAUAUGCGAUUAACGGGACAUAUAUAUAUAUAUAUAUACAAUACAUGUUCAGAUAUAAAAUUGUACUUCUUUGAAAGUUUUGUUAGUGUUGGUGCAAUGUGUGGCGAGUGACUAAGUGUUGUGAGAUAAUGAACGAUAAUAAACCGCCUACAGCUAUUGAAAUUAAGUUGAAGAAACAGUGAAAUAAAGUUGCGUAUAUACAUACAUACAUACGUUUGUAAAAACAGUGAGCAAUGCUUAUAAGGUUUCUCGUGAACUAAGCUAAGAAGUGAAAAACUUAAAAAAAUAGCUGAGUACUUUAGUGUAUAGCAGAAAUAAAUGACCUAUUAAAGAUUUUAAGAUACUAAAAAUAAUGAAUAAAAAUAUUGUUGUGGAAUAUGAAGAUAUACUAAAUACUGUUGAUUGUUGUUAAAAGUGAAAUUUUUAAAAUUACUGUUAGAAAUAGAAAUAAUGGACACAUAUCGGAAGAGUGAUUAUUUGUGUGAACGCUGGUCAAUAAGAAUUUCGAAUAAGCAUUAUCAUGAAAUGUAAUGAAAUACAUACAAAUCACAGCGUAGCAAAAC